rnacentral:rRNA from 1 species
GAUGAACGCUGGCGGCGUGCUUAACACAUGCAAGUCGAACGAGAAGUGAAGACGGAAACCUUCGGGCGGAAGGCUUUAUUUCGAGUGGCGGACGGGUGAGUAACGCGUGGGUAACCUGCCUCAUACAGGGGGAUAACGGUUGGAUACGACUGUUAAUACUGCAUAAGACCACAGCACCGCAUGGUGCGGGGGUAAAAACUCCGGUGGUAUGAGAGGGACUCGCGUUCGAUUAGCCAGUUGGCAGGGUAACGGCCCACCAAAGCGACGAUCGAUAGCCGAUCUGAGAGAAUGACCGGCCACAUUGGCACUGAGACACGGCCGAGACUCCUACGGGAGGCAGCAGAGGGUGAUAUUGCAAAAUGGGGGAAGCCCUGAUGCAGCGACGCCGCGUGAGUGAAGAAGUAUGUCGGUAUGUAAAGCUCUAGCAGCAGGGAAGAAAAUGACGGUACCUGAGUAAGAAGCCCCGGCUAACUACGUG